CUGGCUCAGAACGAACGCUGGCGGCAGGCUUAACACAUGCAAGUCGAACGGGCCCUUCGGGGUCAGUGGCAGACGGGUGAGUAACGCGUGGGAACGUGCCCUUCAGUUUGGAAUAACCCAGGG
rnacentral:rRNA from 1 species